GUAAAGUUCUAAAAUACAUCACCUGAAUGCAACCCAAGCACUUUAAUUAAGCUAGGACCCCAUAAGCUGA
rnacentral:tRNA from 1 species